AACGACUCUUGACAACGGAUAUCUCGGCUCUCGCAUCGAUGAAGAACGUAGCGAAAUGCGAUACUUGGUGUGAAUUGCAGAAUCCCGUGAACCAUCGAGUCUUUGAACGCAAGUUGCGCCCGAAGCCAUUAGGCUGAGGGCACGUCUGCCUGGGUGUCACGC
rnacentral:rRNA from 1 species